UUCCUGUGAUCUACUUCUGAGGUGAAGGGCUGGCUGUAAGGGCUGUCUUUCUGGGCAAGCACAUGGCUGCAGUCAGCGUCCUUCGAGAGAGCAUGGGGAGGAUGCUCACUGGCUAACAUUGCCUCACGUCUACAUCCUACACUCUGAGGUCACAGUGCUCUCUCUGAGCUCUGCUGGGAAGGGAUCUUACUAAAGAAAGGCAGAAACACAGGUACCCGCCUCCCAGUGGAUGCUGCAGUGUUAUCAGAAGUGUUAAAGAUUUGAGGAGAUUAAUCUUGAGACCCGUACAGAUCUCAAAGUGGUCCACACAAGUGUACUGUCACGUGCUGGGGCUGGCUCACUGGAGCCUGAGGUACCUCUCCUACGUCCUAUGUUACAGCAGUGAGCUAGAGAAAAAAGUGAAAGAGUUCUGAAUCUAUGCGCGGCACGCGGGGGAGAAGGGGUCUUCCUGCUAGAAGGAACAAACAAGUAUCUGUGCUCGUGGGUGAGACAGAGAUAAGACAGGAGUAGAAGAGAGAGCAGCGAUAGCCAACAGGCGCUCAUAGCUUCUGCUUUAAACCAAGCUCAGAGGAGAGAAGGUGAGAAAACACGCAUAUUACGUUUCAGUUCUAAAUCUCUCCAAGCAAGACACACCCAAGGCACGGAUGGAGUUGGUAGUUGCUAUAUCUUGAAUCAAGACUUGUGUGCUAAAGGACAGGUCACCAGCCUGUAAUGGCACUACAUGGAGUUGCUGAAAAUUUGAGGGGAAGAACACAAUUAGAAGAAGUUCCGUCUUUGAGGUCAUGCCUUGAAGGGAAUAGUGAGUCCUCGGACCCUUGUCUCUUUCUUUGCUUUCUGAUUAGCAUAAGGCGAACGGGCAUCCUCAGCCGCUAGCUCCUGCCAUAGUGCGCUGGACUGCCACAGUCCCAAAGCAUCGGGCAAGGAGACCACAGGCUGAAACUGCUGACCCAGCAGCCGCGUGAACCUUUUCUUUCGCUAAGCUUGUUCUCUCAGGUACUGACCGGAAGCUGACUUGCUUGAAGAGGAUGAGACUAACGAUGCAGUAAAGCACCGGAAGUCCAAUCUAUUCACCAUUAAAGACUGCCUGACAGCUCACCUGUGGGCUCUGAGAAGAAGCAGUCAGUGAAAGAUACGCGUGUGUUGGCUUGAGCCCCUAAGUAGACCAAGCCGCCCAGUAGGAUGGGAAGGGUGUGGGAAGAGCUGCUUUCCUAGGGGAGCAGGAGGUGGCGGUUUAUGUGUGCUAUGAUUUGAGAUGCCAAAUUGCCAUCCUAAAGCAAAUGUCAGUGUGAAAUUGUUUACAUGACUCGAAAGCCGGGCAGAACGCUCAGGCUUGCGAUCAAAACGUGAGUUCAGCAUACAGGUGGCAUUUUAAGCCAGAGAUUUGAUGAGAUCACCAGGGAAUGUAGAUAGAAGAGAUCCAAGUGCAGAACUCUGGGGCACUUCAGUGUUUAGAGGUAAUAUGGGGCCAUCGAACAAGACUAAGGGGGCCUAUCGUCAACAAGGCAGAAGGUAAAGUAGGCAGUGAGAAAAAGCUUCACAAAAGCCAGAAUAAACGGCAACUUCAAAAAUGGUACCAACAGGCCAAGUGAGCACAGACACAGGGGCUAACUAUUGAACUUAGCAAAGAGAUCAUUGACUGUCACAAUUUCCAUGGAGCCUAAAUCCAGGGUAUGAAGUCAACUUUGAAGCUUGUUAAUCUUGCUCAUCUUGCUUUAAUGUCUAUGUCCCAGCAUGCUAAGAGGGGUAUUUGUAAAAGGAACACGGAUGUAAAUAUGUAAAAGGACUAUCCCAGGCAGUGCCCUGUGCUGUUUGAAUGAGAUGCUGCCCACAGUUUCAGGCAUUUGAAUGCUUGGUUCCCAGUUGGAGGCCUUGGUUGGUGAGGCUUGGAGGGCGUGCCUUGUUGGAGGAAAUGCAUCACUGGUGGCAGGCUUAGAGAGCUUACGGAGUCACACCAUUUCUAGUCUGCCAUUGGUUGUGUGGCUCAAGGUGUGUGAGCCCUCAGCUUUCUGCUUCGGUUGCCAUACUUUUGAUCCACUGUUAAGGAAUCAAACACAGAAAUGUAAGCCCAAAUAAACUCUUCUCUAAAUUGCCUCAGCCGUAGUGUUUUUAUCACAAUAGUAGAAAAGUAAUGGAUACAGGCUAUGAUGGUCUUGUGUGGACGCUCUCACUGUAGACAGUUGGGCCAGCAAGGAAUGUGUUACCAGACAAGAGUAUACUUGAAUGACGCGAAGCUAUAGAUGUAAUUAGAUGUUUAUUUACUUACUUACUUAUCUAUUGGCACAAUCUCAUGUAUCCCAGACUAGUGUUGAACUCACUAUGUAGCCAAGGAUGACCCUGAACUUCUG
rnacentral:lncRNA from 1 species